GGUUUGUUCAAAAAGUAUCGCGAAUCGUAUCUGACAGUUUUCUUCGAUUGCAGGGGCGUGGUGCAUCAUGAGUUCUUGCCACAGGGAAGAACGGUCAAUAAGGAAUAUUACCUGCAAGUUAUGCGCAAUUUGCGCGAAGCAAUCCACCAGAAACGCCCGGAUUUGUGGAAGAACAAAAAUUGACUUUUGCACCACGAUAACGCCCCUGCUCACACAUCGUUGCUUGUGCCAAAAAUAACACACUAAUGAUGCCGCAGCCACCGUAUUCCCCAGAUCUGGCCCCCUGUGACUUUUUUGUUCCCUAAACUGAAGAGGCCCAUGAAAGGACGACGUUACGCUUCUCUUGACGAGAUAAAGACGGCAUCGAAGGAGGAGCUGAAGAAGAUAAAAAAAAAUGAUUUUUUGAAGUGCUUCGAAGAUUGGAAAAAUCGUUGGCACAAGUGUAUAAUAUCUCAUGGGGAUUACUUUGAAGGGGACAAAGUAGAUAUUCAUGAAUAAAUAAAUAAUUAAAAAAAACACAAAAUUCGCGAUACUUUUUGAACACACCUCGUACAUGAGUGACGAUACGUUAUUUUGUUUAACGAAAUCAAGCACUUGAUGAUACGUUUUUUUGAAUUUUUAAUAUAGCUUGGGUAUUUUUGAUCUCAGAAGCUUAAAAUUUGUGACACAUAUUAUGUAUGUUAGCUGAGGUAAUUUGUUAAUCAAAUUUAACAUAUUUUCUGCAUUAAACUAUUGAGCGAUAUAUAAAGUCAACCGGAAGUGCAAAAAUCUUUAUAUUAUAUGUUUGGGGCCAGGGAAUUUUAUUAAUUUUUAAUUCAAAAGCACAUUAUUAUCAGAAAUAGAAGUUUUUCUAUCCAAAUCUCAAUAGAUUCCACGACUUUGAUCAUUUUAUGACGUGAUAUGGCAUACUUUAAAGACACUAUUUGUGCAAAAUGUUAUCCCGAUAUAUGUGACCUGGUCUACGAAAAGGGGGCUUAGGUGCGAAAACUAGUUUUCUGGGAAAAGCUGUUAAAAAUAAACAACUCGUUUCGUCAGUUAUCUCAUUAAUUGUUUUUUUUUUUUUUUGACACCUAAGCCCCCUUUUCGUAGACCAGGUCACAUAUAUGUAUAUGUAUGUAUGUAUUCAUUGGUGCUUGAUUUGCAUAACGUAAUGUGAAAAGAAACAUUUGGAAUUUAUUUUUUUGAAGUUGGCGUGGUGUAGUACGACUUCACCCAUUUGCACUUUUCAAAUAAGAUCGUCAGGGUAGUGUUGAGUACUAAAUUUUUUUGACAUCGGUCUAGCAGGUCCUCAGAUAAUGCAUUUCACCUAAAAGCCACGCCUAUUGUUCCAUUUGGAUACCGGAUUUUUUGUAGCCUUUCUAUACUUUCUUAGAUGUAAAAUUUAAUGACUUUGUCGCAUUUAAUUAUAGAGUUGUCGCACCUUUAGUGGUUUCAAUACAGGAGUGAGCGGGAAUGUAAUCCGAUUUCACCCAUUCACAUUGCCACAGAAAGUACCAAAACAUUUUGAUCUCAGUAAAUUAGGUUGAAAGAAUUAGGCUUAUCCCACGAAUGUUGGCGCAGAUUGUAGGGUCUCCCUCUUCAGGUAAGUAUUUAACGAAAAAUAUGUCGUAUUGAAAUUGCCGACGUGGUUAUCUUAUUCACUUAAAAAAAAAGUAUACGUCGAAAGUAUUUAAGUACAAAAAAGCUUUACAGUAUAUUUAUUAUACUUAAUAUGAAAAAAAGACUACCACGACCUAAAAAGCCACCAAGUAUGUGGUUGUUAUUUUGAUAGAGCCCAAAUACAUAUAUAGGGGAUGCUGCCCUAGUGUCUCAACUAACAACUUUAUUCCGGUUAUGUAGACCUGAGGAAACGAAAACUAUUAGCAAGUGAAACUCCCGUUUCACGCGCAUUGAGUCUCACUAUACUAACCAACCCUUUGUAUGUCUAACAUAAUCGGCUUUAUCAGAGACCUUACUUAUUAAAAGUAUUGUAAUAAUUCCCGAAUAAUUUACAAUUUCAAGUCGUUCGAUACAACAAUAACGCACUCUAGGUAGUAUUUAAUUUACGGUAUCUAGAAACUCCCAAAUAUACGGGGGAUAUAUAUUAGUUCUCAUAAUACACAUAUUUAACGAAGCCGCCUGUCAAAACUCGACAACAGCUCAAUGUCGGAAAGUGUCUAUCGCCAAUGUUAUGACAUCGACCCGUUUACUGCAGGAGAAACCAUUAACUAUCGAUGGUGUCGGUUUUUGAUAGUGCGCCGCCAUAGUUCAUAAAUUUCUUGUAACGCUCCGAGGAUUGUAUCCGAUAAGCAUUUGGACCACCUUAAUGUGAUUUCUUAUCACCGAAAUUAGAUACAAGUUUUAUUUUUAAUCCAUAUCUAAUCAUUUUAUUUUUAUUUACGUUCAUUUAUUUAAUAUAUUUGCAACCAUCAUUGACUUACAAUUAAAAUAUAUAUAUAUGUGUAGGUUUAAAAAUUUCGAUAUUAAUUUAAAAUUUACACAUGAUUUACUUUCUAAUACUUUUUUUAACAAUUUAUGUAUAUAGUAUAGUUUACAAGUUGUUUUCUGCUAAAUUUUUCAUACAAAAAGUGAUUCUCAAUUACCGGUGUUUUAAGCUGAUACACAUAUAUUCCAUAAUAGCUAUAACAUACAAAUAUACUCGUACAUAAGGCGUGUGUGGUGUUUUAUAUACUAUACAUUGUUGUUUUUCAAAAUAUUGUUUGCUAACACUAAGUGACGAAUUGCUUUUAGUGAAAAUAUUUAUUUUCGUACUCGGGAUAUAUUAUAAUUUCAGUUUAGUUUUUACUCAGUGGGC